AGCAGGACUUGGAGCGAAGGUUCGAGCUGCUGAGCCGCGAGCUGCGGGCCAUGCUGGCCAUCGAAGGUGGGACAUGGGCUCAGGGGCCGGGAGGCAAGACAGAGCCAGGGUGGAGGCGGCACAGCCCUGGGCCCGCGCCUCCUGACGCUUAGCCGCUUCGACCCUCAGACUGGCAGAAAACGUCCGCUCAGCAGCACCGAGAGCAGCUCCUACUGGAGGAGCUGGUGUCGCUGGUGAACCAGCGCGAUGAGCUAGUCCGGGACCUGGACCACAAGGAGCGGAUCGCCCUGGAGGAGGACGAGCGCCUGGAGCGCGGCCUGGAACAGCGGCGCCGCAAGCUGAGCCGGCAGUUGAGCCGGCGGGAGCGCUGCGUGCUGAGCUGAGGCCGCCGGCCCGGGUGGCCCAUAACUUCUCGCGUCCCCGGCGUCCGCCGCCGCCCCGGGCCUGCGCUGCGGACGACCCGGCCGUCCCGGAGGCCGCGCGCGUGUCCGCUAGGGGCCGCCGGCGCCCUUCCCCGUACAGGGCAGGGCGGAUCCCCGACCC
rnacentral:lncRNA from 1 species